UACGAAGGGGGCUAGCGUUGCUCGGAAUCACUGGGCGUAAAGCGCACGUAGGCGGAUUGCUAAGUCGGGUGUGAAAUCUCGGGGCUCAACCCCGAAACUGCACUUGAUACUGCCUUGCUCGAGUACUGGAGAGGAGAUUGGAAUUUACGGUGUAGCAGUGAAAUGCGUAGAUAUCGUAAGGAAGACCAGUGGCGAAGGCGAAUCUCUGGACAGUUACUGACACUGAGGCACGAAGGCCAGGGGAGCAAACGGG
rnacentral:rRNA from 1 species